rnacentral:ncRNA from 1 species
AUUAACGGUCGCGGAUUAGUAAGUAUCGGAUGGUCUUAAGCGAGCUGACGGGUGGUGUAAGUCAGUGGCUAGCCGAUGCUGAACUCACCGUUUUACCUGAGGUAGUGAACGACUUUUGAGUCAGUAGCUAGCUUCGUUUGUCAGCGUUAUCGACCCUCAGCGCUUACCGAUGUCGGUAAGAAGAUAGGUGGCACCGCGGAAGAAUUCGCCCUAUCG